AUACGGAGGGUGCAAGCGUUGUUCGGAAUUAUUGGGCGUAAAGCGCGUGUAGGCGGUUUCUUAAGUCUGAUGUGAAAGCCCCGGGCUCAACCUGGGAAGUGCAUUGGAAACUGGGGGACUUGAGUACGGGAGAGGGUAGUGGAAUUCCUAGUGUAGGAGUGAAAUCCGUAGAUAUUAGGAGGAACACCGGUGGCGAAGGCGGCUACCUGGUCUGUAACUGACGCUCAAGCACGAAAGCGUGGGGAGC
rnacentral:rRNA from 1 species